AUUGAACGCUGGCGGCAUGCCUAACACAUGCAAGUCGAACGGGGCAGCAAUGCCUAGUGGCGGACGGGUGAGGAAUACGUAGGAAUCUGCCCUUAAGUGGGGGAUAACCAGGGGAAACCCUGACUAAUACCGCAUGAUCUCUUCGGAGCAAAGAGGGGGACCGCAAGGCCUCUCGCUUCUGGAUGAGCCUACGUCUGAUUAGCUAGUUGGUAGGGUAAAGGCCUACCAAGGCGACGAUCAGUAACUGGUCUGAGAGGAUGAUCAGUCACACCGGAACUGAGACACGGGCCGGACUCCUACGGGAGGCAGCAGUGGGGAAUAUUGGACAAUGGGCGCAAGCCUGAUCCAGCAAUGCCGCGUGUGUGAAGAAGGCCUUCGGGUUGUAAAGCACUUUAGCCUGGAAAGAAAAAACUUUGGUUAACACCCAAAGUCUUGACGGUACCAGGAGAAUAAGCACCGGCUAACUCUGUGCCAGCCGCCGCAGUAAGAC
rnacentral:rRNA from 1 species